rnacentral:rRNA from 1 species
UGGUUAAGGCUCCCAGUAGACGACUGGGUUGAUAGGCCAGAUGUGGAAGCCCGGUAACGGGUGGAGCUGACUGGUACUAAUAGGCCGAGGGCUUGUCCU